GCGGGGCCAGUGACCCAUCUCGGCACCCACAGGUGCGGCACAGGUGAGGGGUGGCCGAGGCCCCGCGGAGGGAAGGUGCAGACCUCGGGGCAGGUGGCCUUGGGGCAGGUGGCCUCGGGGCAGGUGGCCUCCGUGCAGGUGGCCUUGGGGCAGAUGACCUCAGUGCAGUUGGCCUCCGCAGGUGGCCUCGGUGCAGGUGGCAUGGGGCAGGUGGCCUCCGCAGGUGAGGGCCCGCGCCCCACCCAGUCCCAGCGCAGCAGGGGCGCCCGAGGGGUGGCCCGCCCGAACCCUAAGCGCGGCUCCCAGGCACCUGCACCUGCCCACACACGCCCACUCUCCGGGCCGCGAACCCUCCCCGGCCAGAGCGCAGCACUGCCGGGGGCUCCCCACCCCACCCCGGGGCGCAGGGGCGCCUGCGGAGACUGACGUCCAUCCUCGGACCCAAGGAUCUGCAAAUACACCGGAAUUACGUUUUCAAGGUGCUUUCAUUUCGAAGAACACACUCGACCCUAAAAGUCCACGCUCCUGGGAGGCCAGUCAUUCUUCCCCCAGCGGAGCAGGGGCCGAAACCUGCAGCUGCUGCUUGACACAGAAAAGAGGGGAUACCAGCCCAAAUCCAGAACAUCUGUUCUCUGUGUAAGUCCUAGCAAUGGAUUCUUAUGUUCCUCAUACUCAACAGAAAGAUUUCAGAAUGACCAUAGAAAGUCCGUCCUCUGGCAUCCUUCUAUCUUGUACUUCCCACACAAUGCCCAAUGUCUAAAUCCGAACUCAUGGCCUUCCCCUCCAGCCCAAUAUCGCCUGGCACCCCUCUGGAUGAAAUGCUACCAUCUUCCACCUGGCCGUCCAAAUCAGAGGCCUGGAGGCCAUGCUGAUGCCCCCUGUGGCACAUCACCACAGUCGCCCUGGACAACUUCCAGAUAUUGCUCCUUGCUCAUGUCCACCACACUCUCCUGGCCACAUCUCCAUGAUCUUGCCCUUGGCCUCACGUCACAGCCUUGCUAUGGACCAUCUCGCAGCUACUCCCUCCACGGUAGUCGCUGCACAUGCCCACGUGCGGGGUCUCUGUUGGGUUUUAUGGCCACAGCAGUAGACUCUUGGUGAGAUUUUGCCCAGGAUGGACACUGACGACAAACAGAACCUUCUGUUAGCUUGUGACAUGUGAAAAGUAAAACAACAGAGUGGCGGACUGAUGGUGAAGGACAGGAGCGGUACGGGAUCCUGUUUGAUCUCAGUGGGCAGGGGAAUUGAGGCAGCAUAAGAAGACAGCCGGGUAGGGGAGUUGUCAGCCAGCUGAGCUGAUGAGACACUGAGACCGGAAUAGCGCACACAAAGGUGAGGGUUAGGAGGAGAGCAUCUGGCUUGCCGGGGAGCUACAGGGAGGCCAGAAUGUGUCGGGAGCGUAGGAGAACUGGGAGGAAAGGCCAGAGAGGUAGGCAGGGGCCUAGCCUCUGGGAAGGAUUUUGGGUGGGAAUCCAAAUGAGAUGGGAGCCAUUGGAGGUUUUGAGUACAGUCUCAUCAGGUCACAUUCAGGUUGCCUGUGAGAAGAGACCACAGAACAGGAAAGUUAGGGGACUUUUGUAAGGGUCCAGGUGGGAGAGAUUGGUGGCUCAUGCUAGGAAGGUUGGGAGUUGAUGAGAAGCAGAUUCGGGUGUACCCACCUGAGUGUUUAUCCAGACUAGGUCCAUCAUCCAGCAGACUUUGAAUUGCUGCAUCACUCACUCUCCAAAACCCAGCAGGAGAGUGUAUGAGGGCACCUGCCCACAACCACCCAUAGCGCCGCUGUCAACUCUAGCCUGUUGCCUGGUGGGGAUGAAGGGCUGAGAGCUAGGUCUUCCCAUUUUUCAGUACAGCAAAAAUGUCAAAUUUUUAUGUGGAAUCUUCCAAAGCACACCCUUUAACAAAGUCCAAACGAGACAUGUAACUGAGAGUUUGACUUACGUUCAUAGGAAGUAGUUGCAAAGUUUGCUGGAUGGAAAAAGUGAUAGAAUGAGUGGGCAUAAAAAAGAUGAAAUAUUUAUAGGUUUUUUUUUUUAAUAUUACUGUUAGUCUUCAAACUUUUUCCCUUGACAUAGCAGAGAAAAAGUAUGAAAUGUGGUAGUGAUUAUGACAGGAGCAGGGAAGGGGAGGAUGGUGGAGGGCAAGCCCCCAGGGAAAGUGGGAUGUGUCAGGACCUCCAAAGCGGGGUGGAACUGACGGGAGCCUAAGGACAGCCGUUGCCACAGGGUGGUGUGAUCCCCAGGUACUGUCCAUGUCUGCCUUUAGGUGCAGGGACAAAGAUAGGGAGGGCAUUGGAUUUGCAGCCUUGACCUUGAAAUGAUGCUAUUCAGGAGAAGAUGCUCUUGUUCCCAGCAAUGACCAAGAGUCAGACACUCUGCUCAUUAUAAAUGACCAGUAUUAAAGCAUUCAUAGUGGUUUUCACCAGCAAUUUAAAGCAAUUUUAUUAUCUUUGACUAUUUGUUCAUUCAAUAGCAUUAUGCUACACGUAUAGGGGGACAAGUGGUAUUUCAAUGUUAGAGAGGCCGGGAUAGGUGGCCACCAUGGGCAGCAGAUUUCAAGAUGUGGAGACGUGGCAGGAAAAGACAUGGUCCUGGGAGUCAGAUGCCAGAUGCAGUGGUUGUAUGAUGUGUUCACAUCAUUUAAUAUAUGUGAGACCCAAAGUUUGCCUUUAAGGAUGAAAUAAAUAUGCAACUCUUUUGGCAUUGUGCCUGUGUGCUCACAUGUGCCCAAUAGACAGUAACGCACAGAAUUAUCUUGACAUCGUUGGCCUAUUUCUUCUUCGGGUACAACAAAGACUAUUCUCAGAAUUCCCAACUUCUACUUUAAUUUCUCACUGGUACUUUGGUACAUUAUAAAUAUGCCGUCGGUUAUUGAUACAUCAGCCACUCAGCCUAUAACUCACUGGGCCCUUAAGCAUUUGCAGGACUGAGAUGAGUUUUAGGACUGGUUUGGAAAGAUAGCUGCUUGCCCUGUGUGAUUAUAAGGAGGUUUAUCCAAGAACACCUUUCCAAUCAGCUUACUGAUGCCUUUCAGGUCAGAAUGAGGAAUUAAUUUAACUUUGUUCCAUGUUAAUUAAUCUCCUAGGAUUAAACCUGACCGCCAGUUAGCGUGAUGAUGUUAUUACUUCUUUUUCUAUAAAGGGCAGGUAGGGAUGGGGAAAUGGGUGAGGCAUGUAGGGAGUGUGACACAGGGGACACCUGUGAUGCUGGGGUGGCUGAUGCCAACUUUGCCAACUACACCAUCUGUCCUGGAUGGUCUGGUCUGAGAAAUCCCCAAUUCACAGCCCCCCAGAUUUAAUCUGGACAUGUCUAGCCACUAUCUGUAGGCAUAUAAUGCCCUGAAAGUUUCAGUCUCUGAGUUAACCAGGACCUUAUUUAUAUGCUGUGGGUUUGUUUUCCGAUUAAAGUUACCAACUACCACUAUCUGCAUAAGUAUGCAAUUUGGUAUAAUCCUUCUGGAAAACAAUUGGUAAUAUGCAUCAAGAACUUCGAAAUACUCUAUGACACAUUUAUUCCAUUUCUAAGAACCUUUUCUAAAGAAAUAAUCAGAAAUUCUGAGACAAGAUGUAAAAAAAUGUUCAUAUUGGUGUAUAUUACUUACAGAUGAAAGAAAGAAAGAAAGAAAGAAAGAAAGAAAGAAAGAAAGAAAGAAAGAAAGAAAGAAAGAAAGAAAGAUGAUCUCUAGCAGUAGAGGAACAGACAAAUGAUGGUACAUACAUGAAAUAGUUGCUAGUAUUUUAAAGUAUGUCAUGAAGAAGUCUUAAUCACUCGAAGAAAUGUUUAUACUACAGUGUUAAGUGAAACAGAGCAGGCCACAAAGCAGCCCGCAGUAUCCCCGUGUGGAGAGGGCUGUCACUGGGCUGUCACUGGGCAGUCACUGGGCUUCGUGCUGAUUUCACACCUGCGAUGGGCCAGUAGAUACGGCCAACAUGCCUGGAGUGCGUGUUUACUGUUCUGGCCUGAGCUGUGUUCCUCUUGACCUUCAUUUGCUCUUGGAAACACUCUGUGGAGCCCAUUACACAAGGGCCAAUGCAAAAUUUGGCCCCAACCCAUUAGUGCACCCCAUUUUCCUGACUUGGUGAUUGGAUCUUGGGUGAACAUGUGACCACCCAGGCUAGAGUUCUCCCAAGACCUUGGGAUAGAUGCUCUUUUCCACUGGGGCGUGAAGCUGCCGGCCGGGUGGUAGGCUGCAGCAACCGGGAGCCUCUGAUACCCUACGGAGAGGCCCUGAGUGAGAAUCAGAUCCAGCUGAGGCAGCAGAGAGGGAACAUGGCAUGGAGAGACACAGACAGACCGAACUAUGGCAUUUUCCUUGAAGGCCUGGCUUCAG
rnacentral:lncRNA from 1 species